AUUGAACGCUGGCGGCAGGCCUAACACAUGCAAGUCGAGCGAGCGGCGGACGGGUGAGUAAUGUCUGGGAAACUGCCUGAUAGAGGGGGGUAACUACUGGAAACGGGAGCUAAUACCGCAUACCAUCGGAUGUGCCCAGAUGGGAUUAGCUAGUAGGUGGGGUAACGGCUUACAUAGGCGACGAUCCCUAGCUGGUCUGAGAGGAUGACCCGCCACACUGGAACUGAGACACGGUCCAGACUCCUACGGGAGGCAGCAGUGGGGAAUAUUGCACAAUGGGCGCAAGCCUGAUGCAGCCAUGCCGCGUGUGUGAAGAAGGCCUUCGGGUUGUAAAGCACUGUCAGCGGGGAGGCGUUACCCGCAGAAGAAGCCCCGGCUAACUCCGUGCCAGCAGCCGCGGUAAUUC
rnacentral:rRNA from 1 species